UGGCGUUGUGUGUUUUAUCUUUUGAGGA
rnacentral:piRNA from 1 species